AUAUAGAUAAUAAAAAUGAAAAAAAAAAAACAUUAAAAUUUAGAACCUGUUCUUGUAUUUGGUGUGAGCUGUGGAUCAUCUUACUGCGGGUGAAUCUGUCCUGUUCAUAUUUGUUGGUAUGGCUGGACAGUGAUCUGUAAAUUAAGAUGGAAAGAGACUAGAUUCCAAACUCCUGAAGUACGUGUUGUUUCUCCUCUUCUACAGCCUACACCAGUGUUUGGAUAAUCUUAAGACUCAGAAGGAAGAGACCCAUACUGGGCAGCAGAUAGGGUCUGACUGGCUUUGAACACAGACUGGCUUUGAACCUGGGAUGGUCCUGACCACCUUCUGAGUGCUUGGCAGAGGCGUAUACAGCUGCACCCGACUAACGUUUCUUUGCUCACUCAGGAAAGUGGACCCUUCAUCUUGCCAGAGCAGUACAGUAGAGCUGACACUGUUGGAAUAGGUGUGGGCAAGCCGGCCCGGAAGUUGUGAGCAUGGGAGAGCAGUCCCCGUUACUCUUCUGUCAUGGAGCAGCAUGGCCUAGGAGAGAUGUCCCCACCCCCCUGAAGCCCAUCAAAUCGCGAGGCAUGUGGAAGA
rnacentral:lncRNA from 1 species